rnacentral:rRNA from 1 species
UACAGAGGGUGCGAGCGUUGUUCGGAAUUAUUGGGCGUAAAGGGCGCGUAGGCGGUGCGGUAAGUCACCUGUGAAAUCUCCUGGCUCAACUGGGAGCUUGCAGGCGAAACUGCCGUGCUGGAGUGUGGGAGAGGUGAGUGGAAUUCCCGGUGUAGCGGUGAAAUGCGCAGAUAUCGGGAAGAACACCCGUGGCGAAGGCGGCACUCUGGGACGGUACUGACGCUGAGACGCGAAAGCGUGGGGAGCGAACAGG